GACUGUCCUCCUCUUAAAAACGACCACAUAGGUCGUUUGUGCAAGCAGCAUAUUACGACCUAUUAUUACGUUUUAAAAUCAAGCGCCCUCUAGCGGCCGUAUUACGACAGUCUCGUUUGUCGGGUGUGUCGUCAUCAAAUGACCUUUGACUGUCGUUACCAUCGUUACCACCCAAAAAAAGGAGGCGUGACCCAACAUCUUACCAUGCGUUGUUGUCCAGGUUUGUAAACAAUUUUAUUUUAUGGUUUAUUUUUUAAGGUACUGUUCUGAUUGUCUGCAAUUAAUGUCAAAGGAACUUGUACUCGAAGCUCAACUUGAAGAAGUUUCCAGUGAAGAUGAAGUCCUUCAAAGGUUCGACACAGCUGAAAAGGAAGACCAUGGGCCUGUCAAACCUUGUUUGUGGAGAGGGAUGAAUUUGACCAUCUUGUGUGUUUACGGAGAAGACCAAAAGCUGCUAAGGCAGAUAUUUCCAGAGGAUUUCUGACAGAUUACUGAGUCCUUCUCCAUCAGCUCUCCACAAUAGCAGCCCUUCCAAAAGCAUCCACAUCACUCUCUCUUGUGUGGCACAUCUGCUCUCAGUCGUUAGCAUGUCUACUUGUAUUAUUUCUCCUCUAGUCAACACUCCCAUCUCUACUGUGAACACUCCUGUCACUAUCACCAUCCCACCUACUGUAUUCUAUAUGCCAUAUAUAUAUAUAUAUAUAUA